rnacentral:rRNA from 1 species
UACGUAGGUGGCGAGCGUUGUCCGGAUUUACUGGGCGUAAAGGGAGCGUAGGCGGACUUUUAAGUGAGAUGUGAAAUACCCGGGCUUAACUUGGGUGCUGCAUUUCAAACUGGAAGUCUAGAGUGCAGGAGAGGAGAAGGGAAUUCCUAGUGUAGCGGUGAAAUGCGUAGAGAUUAGGAAGAACACCAGUGGCGAAGGCGCUUCUCUGGACUGUAACUGACGCUGAGGCUCGAAAGCGUGGGGAGCAAACAGGAUUAGAUAUCCGCGUA